CUCAGCUGACGGGGCUCUUUGCUUUUUCAUGUUGCUCUUUCUGGAAGGGGCCCCGGUGUCAGACCCAUUCACAAGCAUGGGCCAUAAAUGACCGAGGUGAACACCACACAUAGCACUGCAUUUGAAAAAAGAGCACAGACUCUGGAGCACAGCCAAAAUGCCAGGAACAAAAGGUAAUAAGUCGGACAAGAAGUCAACUACCAAGCCACCUCAGAGUCCUAAAGAACAGCCAAAGAAAGGUGAUCAGAAAGGAGAUGAUAGCAAGAAGCAAGGAG